rnacentral:rRNA from 1 species
UACAGCAGGAGCUUGCUCCUGGCUGACGAGCGGCGGACGGGUGAGUAACGCGUAGGAAUCUACCUAGUAGUGGGGGACAACCCGGGGAAACUCGGGCUAAUACCGCAUACGCUCCUCUUCUUCGGAAGAGGAGGAAAGCGGGGGAUCUUCGGACCUCGUGCUAUUAGAGGAGCCUGCGUCGGAUUAGCUAGUUGGUGAGGUAAAGGCUCACCAAGGCAACGAUCCGUAGCUGGUCUGAGAGGACGACCAGCCACACUGGAACUGAGACACGGUCCAGACUCCUACGGGAGGCAGCAGUAGGGAAUCUUGGACAAUGGGCGCAAGCCUGAUCCAGCCAUGCCGCGUGUGUGAAGAAGGCCUUAGGGUUGUAAAGCACUUUCAGUGGUGAAGAAAAGCUUAGGGUUAAUAACCCUGAGUCUUGACGUUAACCACAGAAGAAGCACCGGCUAACUCCGUGCCAGCAGCCGCGGUAAUACGGAGGGUGCGAACGUUAAUCGGAAUUACUGGGCGUAAAGCGCACGUAGGCGGUUUGUUAAGUGGGAUGUGAAAGCCCCGGGCUCAACCUGGGAAUUGCAUUCCAAACUGACAGGCUAGAGUGCAGUAGAGGGAGGUAGAAUUUCCUGUGUAGCGGUGAAAUGCGUAGAUAUAGGAAGGAAUACCAGUGGCGAAGGCGGCCUCCUGGACUGACACUGACGCUGAGGUGCGAAA